rnacentral:rRNA from 1 species
UACGAAGGGAGCUAGCGUUGUUCGGAAUUACUGGGCGUAAAGGGCGCGUAGGCGGCCUUCUAAGUCGAACGUGAAAUCCCCGGGCUCAACCCGGGAACUGCGUCCGAUACUGGAAGGCUUGAAUCCGGGAGAGGGAUGUGGAAUUCCAGGUGUAGCGGUGAAAUGCGUAGAUAUCUGGAGGAACACCGGUGGCGAAGGCGGCAUCCUGGACCAAUACUGACGCUGAGGAGCGAAAGCCAGGGGAGCAAACGGG